ACGGAUCCUUCGGGAUUAGUGGCGGACGGGUGAGUAACACGUGGGAACGUGCCUUUUGGUUCGGAACAACUCAGGGAAACUUGAGCUAAUACCGGAUAAGCCUUUCGAGGGAAAGAUUUAUCGCCAUUAGAGCGGCCCGCGUAGGAUUAGCUAGUUGGUGGGGUAAAGGCCCACCAAGGCUACGAUCCUUAGCUGGUCUGAGAGGAUGAUCAGCCACAUUGGGACUGAGACCGGCCCAAACACCUACGGGAGGCAGCAGUGGGGAAUCUUGCGCAAUGGGCGAAAGCCUGACGCAGCCAUGCCGCGUGAAUGAUGAAGGUCUUAGGAUUGUAAAAUUCUUUCACCGGGGACGAUAAUGACGGUACCCGGAGAAGAAGCCCCGGCUAACUUCGUGCCAGCAGCCGCGGUAAUACGAAGGGGGCUAGCGUUGCUCGGAAUUACUGGGCGUAAAGGGAGCGUAGGCGGAUAGUUUAGUCAGAGGUGAAAGCCCAGGGCUCAACCUUGGAAUUGCCUUUGAUACUGGCUAUCUUGAGUACGGAAGAGGUAUGUGGAACUCCGAGUGUAGAGGUGAAAUUCGUAGAUAUUCGGAAGAACACCAGUGGCGAAGGCGACAUACUGGUCCGUUACUGACGCUGAGGCUCGAAAGCGUGGGGAGCAAACAGGAUUAGAUACCCUGGUAGUCCACGCUGUAAACGAUGAGUGCUAGUUGUCGGCAGGCAUGCCUGUCGGUGACGCAGCUAACGCAUUAAG
rnacentral:rRNA from 1 species